AGCAGGUCCUUGCGUCCCUUCUGGCCUGCCCCAGGGCUCUUGCUGGUGGGGAAAGCCAGGUACUCCCUGCGGCCUUCCUCGGUCUCCAAGACCCUGCUCGACAGACAGGAAGGACAGGAAGCAAGUGCUGGCCAACACAGGAAACUUUUUAAUGGUGUGGACCAAGUCAAACAUAUCUGCAGACCAGUUUUAGGCUAAGGAGCAGAGGGAGCAGUUAAAGGCUGGGCAGGUGACCAAGAGUCUGGAAGGAACGGCCAGAGAGGUCAUAAAUGCUCAUGGGACACGGCCACCUCCCCAGCAGACUGGGAGCUUCCUGAAAGAAGGGGCUGCCUUGAGGGUGUGGUGGGUCCUGGAGCUGCACCAGCAGGAGCUCAAGAAAUGGGACCUCCCUGACCAGGUCAGGAGGGAGCCGCCUCCCCUGAAGCUGGCUCCUGUGUGUCCUGGCUGCUCAGCCUGACCUGUGGAUUCAGUGGAUUUUGAAGAUGGUACAAGCUGGUUCCGUGCACUGUGCUGGGGGCAGCCUGAGCCGCACCCCCUGCCCCCGAUCCUGAUCCUCUAAGCUCCUGACUGACCUGUGAUGCUUUCAGAUCCUCAGAGACCCAUCUGCACUGUUUAGGCUGGAGCUGCUGGCCUUCACAAACGUGUUCCUCUCCCUACAGUGAGGACUGGAUGGGGCCUAAUUGUGACAAGGAGACUGGGCUGCAGAACCAGGGCAGACGGAGGGAGCAGAGAGGUUUGCAGGCUGAUCCAGCAAGGAGGGGAAGUUGCCUGGGGAGGUUUGGAGUCCAGAUGGGAGAGAAAGAGGUGGUCACAGGCUGGCCACUCCUGGGCAGGCACAGGACAUUGACAGAGAGAAGCUCUACAUCAGGGUCCUGUGGGUUACUGGUAUCUGUGGUGACCUGACCUGCAGAUGCCUCAGCACAGGAAGGGAAGACUUGGACUGCUCAGAGGCCAAGCUAAGCCAAAGCUGCUCUCCCAUACAUCUCCCUGAGAUGUCGGGGACCAGCUGAUCUGCUAUCCUUUGGGGAGGGCAUCUGCAGGAAUAGGGCCUGGCCAGGCCUGUCCUGUUUGGUGUUGAAGAUUGGGGGGAGGUUCCCAGCAGCUGCCCCGGGGAAGCUGCAGUGGGCGGGACCUCUGCUACAGGCACCAGGUGGCACUGGCACCAGGGUAGCCACCCCACUUCCCACUUCCCUGGGAAAUGGACCUGGCAGGCAUGCUGGUACACAAGGCCUGCUGCACUGGGGCUCAGAGGGUCCCAGAUGAAGGUUGACUUUGGACUUGAAUUUUUCCUGCAGCAGGAAAGUAAGCAAGCCAGACCAGUCCUGCUGGCCAAGGCCAGCCCUGGCCCCUUCAAGGAAGCCUGAACUGUCUUGAGGGAUCUCUGAGCUUUGGGGAACUUUGGGGGAAGUUGAUGAGGGUUGGGAGUUGCCCCAGGCUGGGUGUAGGGUGGGACCUGUCCCUCCUUCAUAGCCCUUUGCUCUGGUCCGUAUGCCUGCUGAGCCCUGUCUUCCCAGCAGCUGGGCUGGGAAUCCUGGGGCAGAGGGACCUCCUCCUAUCUUCUCUGUGUCCACAGGCUCAUGUCUAAACAGGCAUUGGGCCAAGCCCCAGGUUUCUGCAGGAAAGACCGAGAGGAUCCCUCCAAUCCAAUUACUCAAAUGUGCCUGCAUCCGCCGGUGGCGCCGAGAUCGGGCCGGCCCAUUUCUGCCUGGAUGCCAGCCGCACAAGGGUUGGCAUAGCAACAUGAGCUCUGAUCUGCUGAAACUUGGAGUCAAUUCGUCAUUGGGAGGACAGAAAGAAAGAUUGAAGAGGACGCCUUUAAAAGUGAUGCGGGUCAGACAAAUCCAGGCUAAUCCCUGAAAUCCACAGAAAUGGGGUCUGGCAUUAACACGUGUGCCAUAGCAGCGACUCCCAGUGACAUGGUGUGUCAGAUUUGGGUGUGUGAGACACGCCCCUCCACUGGCAUUCUACUCCACAAGAGGGAGUUCUGGACAGGAUCAGACCGCCAGCCCCCUGAUGGCUUACUGCGCAGCUGUGUUUUCAAACUUUUAAACCAAGCAGCAGAACCUUUUCUUAAACAAUCUCACCCAGCACCUCUUUAUAUAAAACACUAAUCAGCCUACGAGGGGAGGCCUGGAGAGGCAACUCCCACCCUCUCCAGAAACCCCUAUCUUACCUGAGGAGGAGCCACUGGGACCCUCUUGAUCUUCGUCUGAAGAGGGGGCGCCACUGCAGUCAGGACCUGAAACGAGAUGAGCGGUUCACAGAGGUGUCCGGAACUCAACCGACAGCCAUCCAGCAGCCCAGAACAGGCUUUCACCCUCUUUGAAAAUAAGAUCACAUCAAGUCAAGGAUUCAAAAUGGGAAAAAUUCAAUCAGAGCCUCCCUCGGGCCAGCUACACAUCUCAAUACACUCGUAGGCCAGCAGAAUCGGCUCCCGCUACAACCCAGCUCAGCAUCAUCGUUCAAAACGCACCGGUAGGAAAUGGUGAAACAGAAGGACCUUUCAUCCCCGAGUGAGCGAGGCCUGCAGGGCUGCUCUUCUAGCUCCGGAAGCUGGUGGUGCCUGGGCCGAGUGGAGUCAGGGCCUCUUGUUUAAAUAGGCAGCAGGAGUUGGGCAGGGCGAGCCUGGGGGGCGGGCAUGGAAAGUGGGCUGUUUACCCAGCACAGCGAGGCAGUGUCUGGGGAUCCAGCAGUGGUCCUCAGCACGCGCCUGCCUGCUUGUCCACCAGGAGCCUCUAGCCCACAGGCCUCUAGACCGCAGACCAGCACCUGGGGUGACCUCUGAUGGACGUGCAGCUCUAAGUGAGACCAUGUCCUUGGAUGCUUGGUCCAGGUUCCUGAAUACCUCUACCUCUCCUGAGAUAAUCCCCAGUCAGCAGAACCAUUUCUGGAGCUGGAUGGACCUGCUCCCUAGUCCAGGAAGGAGUGGUCUCUUCUGGCAGGGGCAUCUCUCCAAGCCUCAGUUUCUACUUUCUUUCUACAGUUUCUCCUUUCCUUCUGACUUUAAAGUUCCAGAAAUGAUCUGUGCAAAGGGCCUGACGCCUUAGGAGGUUGAUUUAUUUAUUCACAUGGUAAUGCUGGGGCCAAGUAUCUUUGAUGAGGUUCAAGCCCAGAGAUGUUUGGAAACGUUUGCAAAGUCACACAGCCCUCUGGCUGAGUGUCAGGGUCAGCCUGGGACUAGGCUGGGUUGGUGGAAUCCCCUUGGGGUGAGGGUGAGAAGCAGCUGCUGGCCUUGGGGAAAGGUCUUGAAUGAACUUUGGUGAAGGAGUUACCGUAAACCUCCAGCACCAUGGCAAGAGGAGAGGCAUGGCUGGACAGGCAUACUCACAUGGCCUGUCUGCGCACUUGGUGGAGACCUCAUUGGCAGGGUGCAGAAGUACCCCAGAGUCACUUCUAGGAAUGGCCUGUGAGAGGAGCUGCUCCCCACCAAAUCCGUAUAUUACAGCCCUAACCCCCAAGGUGGCUGUAUUUGAGAUGAGGCCUCUAAGGAAGUGAUUAAGGUUAAAUGAAGUCAUAAGGGUGAGACCAUGAUCCAAUCAGAUUAGUGUCCUUAUAAAAAAGACAUCUAAGAGAUCUCAAGGCCUCACCCAUGCAUUGGGGAAAGGCCAUGUGAAGACUGCAAAGCCAGAAGGAGAGAUCUCAUCAGAAACCCAAUCAGCCAGAACCUUGAUCUUGGGUUUCUGGCCUCCAGAAUUGUAAGAAAAUACAUUUCCGUUGUUUAAGCCCCCUAGUCUGAUAUUUUGUUAUGGCAGCCCCAGCAGACUAACACAAGUGGAUGGGAUUGAGCACGGGGAGCAUGGCAGAGGACCAGGAAUGAAUGCAGAGGCUUCCAGUUCAUCCAACUGUAUGGGUGCUGAAGUUGCUCACUGGCCAUGGGUGGGGUGGGUGAAGGCAGGGUUGUGGUGUUGAGGGACAUGUGCAUGGAUGUGUCCAGGUGGCAAUGGGAUAUUCUGACCCAGAGCUCAGCAGACAGGUCUGGGCUGGAGCAAGACUGGGGAAUUAUUAGAGUGUAGGUUAAAUCUUAGGAGUGGCUGAAUUUUGUCAGAUCACCUAUUCUUUCUUUUUCAACUGGUCCAUUCUAAUUCCAAUGAGUGUUGGAUCAGGUUUUGUCUUUCAUAUUUUUAUAAAAAGUCAACCAUCCCUUCUCUCUUUUUUGUUGUAUAAUUGUGCACAAAUUCUCCCCAAUUUUUAAAGGAGUCUGUUUUCUUCUACUUACCCAGAGCAAGUCUUACUUAGGAGCAUAACUGACAUGUGAUUAGGGUACUCAUGCAUGGUUCGAAUUGCACAUUUCUUCCUGAGAUUCAUCUUAUCCUCACUAUUUAUGAUACCAGUUCUUUCAUCAUUCUUAUCCAAUUGCAAAAGAACAUAUCUCCCUUCAGCCUGCUAGAUCAUUUAUCACACCACAUUGUAACUAGCAAAUGCUGAUUUCUUUCUCUCAGAGUUACACUUGAAAGGCACACUGUGUGCGUUCUUUAUUUCUAGGCUGAGCUGUUUCUCAUCUCUGGAAACUUUUCUUGUAUUGUUUCUUUUCUGAGGUUUCCUCAUGGUAUAUACCUCAUCCUGUUUAUCUUUCUCUCAACUUCUGUAGGGCUGUGACACCAUUUCCCAUUCCCAGGUGGGUUAUGUUUACCUUUGAUUGUUGUCUUUUAUCUGUAUUUCUGGUUUGAUGUCUUGCUUUGUCCUCAACAUCACUGCUUUCUCUGCUCUAUUGUUUCAGUUAUCCCAACUACUGCUUCCAGACAUGUUUCAAUUCUUUUAUGGUUUCCACCAUGGGAUUACAGCCUUCCCCCCCCCCCCCCCCCCGGUUAUGAUCUGUUCUUGUUAGUAAUGUUUUUUGUCACUUUUUUUCCCAGUAAGUUCAUCUUAUUUGUUCCUGGGUCCUUUCAGAUUCCAUCAUUUAAAAAACAAAUGUGUGGACAUUUAUUGAGGGCCUACUGUGUGCAGACAUUGCUGUUCUGCAUUUAGCACUUGCAGGGGCCUGCUGAGCUUCUAGGUGCAGCAGAAUUCUGCAGUUAGAGCUGCUUUGAGGGAGGUUCUGGUUAACAACCAUUUAUUCCAUCUUGUUCCAAAGAAGAUUUAAGAUGACUUAAACUUUGUUCUAUGUACAAUAUAAUGAGACUUUUUUUUUUUUUUCUAGCAGUGAGGGAAUUAGAGUUAAAGGAAAAUAAAGGUAGAAAAGGCAAGCAGCAGCCAAGCAGAGAUACAAAGGUAGCAUGCAGGAAGUGAGAGUGUCUAUUCUGAUGGUGGCCUCGGUGGGCACAGAAGGGACAUAUCUUAUGACUGUGGCUUCUCCUUUUGAUUUCUGAUGGUGGUGCUGAAAUGGUCCUUUGUUUUAAGUUCUUCCUUGAAAGGCUGCAGCACAGAGGAGGCCCCCCCAUGUUAUGACUCACUCUGUAAGCCCCCUAGGUGGGAAACAUUUACUUAAAAUUUUUUUCCCAAUAGGGAAGGAAUUGAAAAGAAACAGGCAAGAUACACGUGACAGUGUGGGCCGGCUGCAUGUAAACAAUGGGUCAGCAGCCUCCUGCUCAUCUUUCAAAAGUUGGUAUUGACUGAGCAACUGAUCCUCUGUGUAUUUCCUGUACCCUGAAUCUGAUAGUUUCCCUGUUUUGGGGUGGCAAGUAUAGUCUGGGAGUGGAAGGCUUCUUGGGGUCUCUCUGUUCCCACAGAACUCCAGAGUGGCCUCAUUUCACACCUCUCAGGAAACAGUUUUCCGAGUGACAGAUUGAUUGGUGUAUGGGUGGUUACCAAAAAAGAAUCUAUUUUAUUAGCUGUUUGUCUUGCAAAGUAAGAUCGCUUUUUAAAACUUUAUCAAAAUGUCAUCGUCUUGGGGUUUCAGAACGUGCCCUCUGACUUGGAGGGAAGCUCUGCAGAUCCCACAGGUGAAGAGCUGUCAGGUCAGGGUCUUACAUGCACCCUCAGGUGGUGAGCCCUGGUGUGCCACCCAGCCUGAGCUCUCUCGGGUGGCACGGAGGGCGCUAGGGGCAGCUGGGCACCAAAGGGCUGUUGCCAAAUCUCAUCCUGAUGCCUGAAAUGGCUUUUUUUUUUUUUAAAUAUACCAAGGGAAAAUAAAAAUCUAGGCAUUCAUACACAUGAGAGACCAUGUACAGAUAACUUUGCUUUUCAUUUUGAAAAGGAAAUAGAAAACAUUCCACUUACUAAUUUUUUUAGAGUAGUAUUAUUAUACAAUUAAAAAGUAUUUGAUUUUCUCUUGGUGGCAGUUAGAGAAGAGAGAAAAGCAGAGGGAGACCGAAAGCAGUGGAGGGGAGGCAGAGAGCGGAGUUCCGUCCCCUGGAAGCUUCAGUGGGCCCAGCCCCCGUCAGUCAGUUGGUCAGUGGGCAGAGGCUCUGUUCUUGGGCCUUCCCAUCACCCUCAACCUGUCAUGUCCAGAGUCAAAGCCAGUUACUACCAGCUCCGUAGUCCAUUUCUGGUCCCUGCAGCUCCUCUUCCCUCCCUCCUCGGGCCUCCUCACUUCUCGCCUGCAGAGUUACAUGGCCCGUGGGGCCGUCCACCAUGCUCACGUCCAAGCUGGGAUCUCUACCACGAACUGCUGAGUUCUCUCUGCCCAUUCAUUCUGUCCAGUGCCUACAGAUCUCCCUCUGCUCACGGAACAAAUCCAUCUACCUAGCCUGGUUUGGGGGCCCCUGGUGAUGAGACCCAGCCUUCCUCAGUCUCACUUCUGCCUUUCCUUCCCUCCCACUGAUUUGUUCUCACAGUCUCAACCUCUAGCUUUCAUCUUUCCUGGAACAUACCAUGCUCAUUCACGCCUCCGUGCCUUUGCACAUGCUGUCCCCAGUGUCCGGAACACCCUCCCCGGUUGGUCCACCUGGCACCCAUCCUCUACGGCUCAACUCUACAGCUGUCAGCCCCCAUCCCUCAAUCGCACACCCACCAGGCAUUAGACUCAUAGCCUAGAACCCCCUGAGCACUGAGCAUAGGGGCCAGUCCCUGAAAGGCACUCAGGGAACCUUGAUUGGAUUAAUACACUGGUUUCUAGCCAGACCAGAAUGUCAAUUACCGAAAGGUUCAAUUCCCUCUGUGUGUAGCAGGUGGCACAGCAGGAGCUAUGAGAAAACUUCCCAAUUGUUUGAACUAGUGCAUCACUUAGGCUGCCUUGUGUAAAGGGAGAUUCUGGAAUCACACAGCUAGUGUGGCAGAGCCUAGACUCUGUGAUUAAGACUUAUCUGUGGCCCCAUCCUGGCCAGUUUUGACCCCCACAUGGCUCUCUAAUGCUCAGAAGGGACCCACAGACAGGGAAGGAACCCCCCAGAAGUCUGGGAAGGCUGGUAGCUGCCACCCUUCCCUCUUUGCUGCCACCCUCCUGUGUCCUGGAGACAUAUGAAGUGGAUGGUGCCACUAUUUGUCCUUAACACCUGAGUGUGAAUCAGUCCAUGGAUUGUUGUCUUGAACGUCUGACUGGGCAGAGAGCUGGGGUGGCUGGGAAGGUGUGAGCCAGCAGCAGCCAGGCAUAGAUAUUGUUGGGGGGCAUCUCUGGGAGUCAGGGGGACCGUGGUCAAGCCCCAUCAUCUCUCACUGGGUCCUUCAGCCUUGCCUCCACCGUUCGUUUCCACACAGAAGCCAGAAUCCUCUUUCUACUUACAAACCCCAGCACCUUCCCAGCUGAAAACACCCCCAGGAUAAAACCUAUGCCCUGGGUCCACCGUCCUCUCCUGUGUCACUCCUCACCAACCUUAUCCUCCCUGCUCGUGCCUCCAGAGCCCUCCUGUUUCCUCCUACAGUCCCUGGUCUCUUUCAAGGCAGGUCUUUGCUCACACUGUCCCAUCGCGCUGGAACCCCUGCUCACCUGGCCAGCUGCUCCUCCCCUUCGACCUGAGCUGGAAUGUCUCUUUCUCAGGGAAGCCUUCCCAGUCUCCCCUCACAUUUAUUAUUAGGGACUCCCAUAGGGAGCACCCAUUGCUCCCAUCCCUGCCUCUGAAGAGGCUGAGACCAGGGUCACAUACCAAACAGUCCUGGCUACCAGUAUUCAGACAAGGCUGUGGGGAAGGACAACGUUGGGGGGGUGGGGUGGGAGGAAUAUGCCCCAGAUGCGGCUCCCCAAGGGAGGUGCUGAAUCUGGUUCUGGGAAGUUAGGGGCCUCAUAGGAGGAGGGGGCUGUCCAAAAGGCAGGCAGGUGUGUGGAAUGUGCCUGAACUGUGGCCACGUGGACCCCGUGCUGUAGCCACAGCUGUGGAUGAGGACAGGCAGAGGACAAAAGGGGGUCAAGGCCAGAACCACGGGACUCAUCCCAUUUUUGUCUUGGUGAAGAAAAAGGAGCCAAAACGAGCACUUGGGAGAAGGCAGAAGAACGCAAAAAAGGUGGCUAAAAUAUAGCCCUGUGUUUUUUUAUUUAGUUCUCAGAUAAUCUUACAUUUUUUCGUUUUCACUUAGAAUAGCUGGAAAAGGAGGGCCCUACGUGGCAGUCCCUGGAUGAGAAAACCAUGUGUCAAAGCUGUUGCCGAAUCCCUCGCUCUAUUUUUACCUUCCUGACACUACCUCUUUGAGCCCUGAGGAGGGCUCCUGGCCUGAGGUGGCCCCAGCUGGCAUCCCCAAGGCCAGUGUGGCCAGCCCUCGCUUCGUUCUCCAGAAACCACCAAAAAGCCGGCUAUUCACUUCUCUUGAGCAGGAGUAAAUGCAUUAGACAAAUGUUCUCAGGCAAACGUAAAGGAUGUGAGCACCAAAUUACUCCAUGAAUUACUUUUGUUUCCUUUCCUCAGUUCCAAUUUGGGUUGUUUUGUUGUUGUUGUUAUUGUUGUUCACAUCAGCACGUUAAAGUUGGACGGUAAUUAAUGUUCUUAAAAUAGAACAUCCAUGUUCCCAAGUUUAGAAGGAAAAACCACCUGGGAGUGAAAGAACGUGGAUGUGUGUGACCUGCUGUUCCACUCGCCACAGAACCUUUUCCAAGCCUCGGUGGGGAGCGCCUGCAGGUGGGGUUUGUGGCAGGACACACCGCGACGGACCACGUCUGCGGCCGUUUUUCAUUCUGUUCCCGGCUCGGGUUCAAGGAAACCUUUGACAUCCGUGGCCAGGAGCUCUGGGGGUUCACCAACCUCUGAUUACAUUUCUUUUUUAAAAUAUUGAUGAACAGUCCCUCUAUCAUUUCGAAACACUGAGGCUGCGGCUGUUGGCUCGGUGCAAGGCCUCCUCAGGCCACAGAGCCUCUCCCGGCACCUCGAGGCUCUGGGACUCUCUUUCAAACGCUGAGAGAAGAAAACAGUCCCUCUGGGUAGGGGAGGGGGAGGUCACUUCAGGAUCCAAAAUCAGGACUGCCCAGGCUGCAGAUGCAGGUUGGGGCGGGGGCGCCCAUUCCUACUCCCACUGCCCCGCAGCCUGCCUGAUGCCCCACUGCACAUCUGGUCACCUUGUCCCUGACAUGUCUGCUGCCUGGGAUGGAGAAUAGUGGGACUGGAGAGGAUCACUUCCAGUCCCAUAAGGUCCAGAAGAGCUAAGUGCCAUCCACCCCAUCUUAGAAACACCCACACAGAAGGGCCCUGCAGGCCCAGGCUGCCCCGGAAGAGCUGACUACCACGUGGGGCUGGGUGGCGGUCCCCAUGCUCUGGGAGGACUCAGUGCCCAAUCAGCUGCUUCUUGCCCACACUACCAGCUUCUCAUUGCCUGUCCCCAUUGACUGAGGACACCCCCAGCAGCCAGGUAUUGACAUGGCUUCUGUAGUGACCUUGUCUAGAGGAGAGCAUCUCUUUACAGAUGGGGUAUGUCAGUGAUGUCCAUGAUACCCUGAAGCUCCUGAGUGUGUGGGGCUGAGGCCAAGUUCCUGCCAUCAUCACACCUCUCCACUCUACAGCGCAGCAGAGCGGCUACUGUUGUCGCCUUUGUACAGACGUGGAAGCUGAAACUCUGAGAGAUGAAGCACACUGCCCAAGAUCACAGUGGAGGAGGUGGGAUUUGAACCCAGAUCCAUCUGACUCUGAAGCCAGAGCGCUUCUCCAUCUACCCUGCCACAGAGUCUCCCGCGCCCACCUCCUGCCCUUGACACGUGGCCUCUGGAAGGGGCCACCCUCAAAUACAUGCGCCAUGGCCCUGGGUAAGGGAGCUCUGUGGCGGUACCAGCAGCUGUGGCGCUUCUUGUCAAGUCCUGCCCAGCUCUGCUGGGGUGCCCCCUUAGUUGGAGGCCCUUGUUGACACGACCCAUUUGGACUGCAAUUUUAUAAGGUAAUUAUGGAUCAGUUUGGUGACCAUCAGGCCCUUCUGCUACAUCCUGGGAAAUGGACCUAACUCUGUUACAGGGUAAAUCAGAUAUAAUCAGCUCCUAAUUCAAUAUGGUGGCUCUAAGUAACAUUUAUCAAGAUACAGAAGCUGGUCCUGUGAGAUAGCCAACAGUGGUGGUUGGAUUAGACUCAGACAAGAAGAACCCAUUUGCUGACAGUUUUAAAAAUUAAGUGGAAGAGACAAACUUUUCCAGUACUGUACGUUAUUACAUACACUCGUGUGUUCCAGGCACAGACAAGGGCAUCUUUUGGAGUGGCCACCUGCAUACCUCAGUCUCAUCCUGCCCGUGGCUCAUCCUUCAAAUCUUGACACAAGUGCCUGGACGCCUGGAACACCUUCCUGUUCAAAAGCCAACAUGGGCGAUCAGAUGGUGGGCAGGGCUGGCUGUUGCUACCCCUUCUGUGCCCGAGGAUCCUAAAACUCUUAGCUACAGAGCUUAGGUAUAUUGGCAGACUUCCUCCCCAGCUCUGAGUGGGAUAGAAUUUCUCUUUUGCUUGGUGGUUUGGGAGUCACGUAGGCUAAAUAAUAAUCAGAUUAUUGAUUGGGUCAUCGUGAUUGGAUCUGUUACUUUUUGUUUGUUUCUUUGAGAGAGAGAGAGAAUGAGUGGGGGAGAAGGGCAGAGAGAGAGAAUCUUAAGCAGACUCCACACUCCAAUGUGGGAUUCAAUCCCAUGACCCUGGGAUCAUGACCUGAGCUGAAAUCAAGAGUUGGAUGCUCAACCGACCGAGCCACCCAGAUACCCUGGAUCUGUUACUUUUGCAUCGGAUCGAACUUUAUGUCCCCACUUCCUUCCCAACUGCCAGCCGAGUUGACCAACAGCAAGGCCCACACCAGACCCACACCAGACAGUUUUUGCAAACUUACGGAAGCAGUGGCCGCUAAGAGCCGACAAUGUUCCAUAGACUUCUACCCCAGCCUCCCUUAGCUGUAUGGGCCUGCCUUCCAGACCUCUGUGCAAGCUUCAACACCUCUUCACCCACACUACGGCUGGCUGGUGACCUUUGAUCCACCAAGUCCCUCAUUUGGACUCUCGCCCCCCUGUCUCCUCUCACAGUUGUUAAGGUCUAACUCCUAUAAUAAAUUCCUUAUUCCACCACA